AGUGAACGCUGGCGGUAGGCCUAACACAUGCAAGUCGAACGGCAGCACAGUAAGAGCUUGCUCUUACGGGUGGCGAGUGGCGGACGGGUGAGGAAUACAUCGGAAUCUACUUUUUCGUGGGGGAUAACGUAGGGAAACUUACGCUAAUACCGCAUACGACCUACGGGUGAAAGCAGGGGAUCUUCGGACCUUGCGCGAUUGAAUGAGCCGAUGUCGGAUUAGCUAGUUGGCGGGGUAAAGGCCCACCAAGGCGACGAUCCGUAGCUGGUCUGAGAGGAUGAUCAGCCACACUGGAACUGAGACACGGUCCAGACUCCUACGGGAGGCAGCAGUGGGGAAUAUUGGACAAUGGGCGCAAGCCUGAUCCAGCCAUACCGCGUGGGUGAAGAAGGCUUUCGGGUUGUAAAGCCCUUUUGCUGGGAAAGAAAAGCAGCAGGUUAAUACCCCGCUGUUCUGACGGUACCCAAAGAAUAAGCACCGGCUAACUUCGUG
rnacentral:rRNA from 1 species